UCCUUCACCUCCGCAACCAGUGAUGGUGACAACGGAGCAAUUCAACCUGCUCUUUCAAUAGGUUCAGAUCCUAAUGGCCACCAUCCAGUCGAUCUAAGGCCCUCCGGCACCCCCAUCAGUGGUGCCAUCCCCCUAUCAAGCCACUCUGGCUCCACCAUCUACAGCUCCACACCCAAACCCGAUGCCGCAAGCGGUGGCACCACAACCUAAUCAGCCACAAGAUGCUCCUCAUAGUCCAGGGAGGAGGCAGACCCACCAAAGCCACCCCAGAAGUCCGAAACUAAGGUGGCGGUGAUCCCCAAGUCUCUGAUCAGGGCAUGACUCCACCCC
rnacentral:lncRNA from 1 species